rnacentral:rRNA from 1 species
GGACUACCGGGGUUUCUAAUCCUGUUCGCUCCCCACGCUUUCGCUCCUCAGUGUCAGUACCGGCCCAGACCACCGCCUUCGCUACUGGUGUUCCUCCUGAUAUCUGCGCAUUUCACCGCUACACCAGGAAUUCCAUGGUCCCCUACCGGACUCUAGCCAUGGCAGUAUCGGGUGGCGACUCCAGGUUGAGCCUGGAGGUUUCACACCCGACUAACCAAGCCACCUACGAGCUCUUUACGCCCAGUGAAUCCGGACAACGCUCGCCCCCUACGUAUUACCGCGGCUGCUGGCAC